AGCGUAGACGGACUGGCAAGUCUGAUGUGAAAGGCGGGGGCUCAACCCCUGGACUGCAUUAGAAACUGUUAGUCUUGAGUGCCGGAGAGGUAAGCGGAAUUCCUAGUGUAGCGGUGAAAUGCGUAGAUAUUAGGAGGAACACCAGUGGCGAAGGCGGCUUACUGGACGGUAACUGACGUUGAGGCUCGAAAGCGUGGGGAGCAAACA
rnacentral:rRNA from 1 species